rnacentral:tRNA from 1 species
UCCCUGAUGGUCUAGUGGCUAGGAUUCGGCGCUCUCACCGCCGCGCCCCGGGUUCAAUUCCGAGUCAGAGAA